rnacentral:lncRNA from 1 species
UACAUGAGCUCUCUCUUGCUUGCCACCAGGUAGCUGUCCCUUUGCUCUUCAUUUGUCUUCCACCAUGAUUGGGAGGCCUCCCCUGCCAUGUGGAACUGAGGAUGCAGCAUUCAAGGUUCUAUCUUGGAAGCAGAGACUGUGCCCUCACCAGAUGCUGAACCUGCUGAGCACCCUGAUCUUCCACUUCACCUUCAUCAGAACUACUGGGGCUGUGGCUGAGAUGUCACAUGGCAGAUAGGAUCACAAAUUUCUGUUGUAUCUGGAUGGAGAUCAGCAGGAGGAUCUAUGGGUGAGAAGAAGCACAGUUACAGAUGGAUUCUAGAGCCUGCUUGCUGACACAGGCUUGCAACUGCGGACUUUAUAAGCUUAGUUUUUAAUCUGCUAUCAGCUAGCAUAAUACCAUAAAUGCAUAAGAAACUAAGUAUUCAGUCUUACGAGAAAUGCUAUCUUGACCUGACCCUUUCUCCAAAUAAAUUGACAAAAUAUCUCAUCGUCUAGGAUGCCAGACAGAAAUACCAGUUGCAAUGUUUUGUUGCAUAAAGUUUAUCCUAAUUUAAAUUAGUGGCAUAUAAAGUCAUCAUCUUGCUUGAACAAACAUCUUAUUAAAUUGAGCAUGUCUUUUAUCCCAUGAAAUGAAAUUAAUUUUGAGAUAGUUAUUUUUCAGUUGGAAAUUUAUUGAGUUGAUAGAAAACAAGUUAUAUAGUCUUCCAAAGAAUAUGUUACAUCCAUUUGCAUUUUGUUUUUCUUCAGCAAUGUUUGGUUUUUAGAAAAUCUUACAAGUUAAAUAUACUAAUGUAGAAAUUGAAAGAAAAUAAUCAGAGAUAGAGCAAUAAAUUUGCAAAUAAAGAUUAUUCUUAAAACAAA